rnacentral:rRNA from 1 species
AACGAACGCUGGCGGCAUGCCUAACACAUGCAAGUCGAACGAGGCCUUCGGGUCUAGUGGCGCACGGGUGCGUAACGCGUGGGAACCUGCCCUUAGGUUCGGAAUAACUCCCCGAAAGGGGUGCUAAUACCGGAUAAUGUCUUCGGACCAAAGAUUUAUCGCCUUUGGAUGGGCCCGCGUUGGAUUAGCUAGUUGGUAGGGUAAAAGCCUACCAAGGCGACGAUCCAUAGCUGGUCUGAGAGGAUGAUCAGCCACACUGGGACUGAGACACGGCCCAGACUCCUACGGGAGGCAGCAGUGGGGAAUAUUGGACAAUGGGCGAAAGCCUGAUCCAGCAAUGCCGCGUGAGUGAUGAAGGCCUUAGGGUUGUAAAGCUCUUUUACCCGGGAUGAUAAGGACAGUACCGGGAGAAUAAGCUCCGGCGAACUCCGU